AAAUUCUAUUUGUACACUCCGAACGAGGAGUGUCGAUCUUAUAUUUUUUUUAGACUAAAUUACAGAAAAUCCCCCUGUAAUAAUCCGCUUUUUCACUUUUCCCCCCUGACAUUUAAAAACCUACACUUUGCCCCCUUAUAAAAUGAAAAAUGUUCACAGGGGGGUUACGGUGUGUAAAAUGACCAUUUUGCCCCUCGCAAUUGUUGUCUUCUUCCUGAGCUUCCUCGGCAGCCCCUUCGAUCCGCUGCUAUUUCCACCUCAAUCGGCCACGAUUCCUCUCCAAUUUCUUCUCCACCUGCUCCCCUUCUCCUCCUACAUCGUCGCCGCCCAUCAAUUUCGGCGACUGUAGGGAGGAUACUAAGAUGGGUGUUGAUGGAGAGAUAGGCAGAGACAACGUGGGCGAAGGCGAGGCGGCGGAGGAGGAGAAGGGGAUGUGAGCGAGGGCGAAGCAGUGGAGGAUGGCGAGGCGGCGAGGCGGCGAAGCGGCGAGCCGGAGGGAGCGAAGCAUCAGAGAAGAGGCGGAGGGGUAUUUUCGGUAUAAAAAAAUAUUUUUUAACAGAACCCCUAACGGAACCCUAACGGUAGGAGUGAAGUGCACAUUUUUUAUUUUACAAGGGGGCAAAGUGUAGGUUUUUAAAUGUCAGGAGGGGAAAUUAAAAAAGCGGGUUAUUACAGGGGGGUUUUCUGUAAUUUAGCUUUUUUUUUAUUCUAGAGUUCGCAAAAAUUUAAAUAAUUUUAGUAUAAAAAAAUAAUAUGCUAAGUAGAAAAUUAAUAGUCUUUAAAUAAUGAAGGCGUAAGUUGUAUAUAAUAGCAUUAUUUUUUAAAUAAUUAUAU
rnacentral:lncRNA from 1 species